rnacentral:rRNA from 1 species
CCUACGGGAGGCAGCAGUAGGGAAUAUUGCUCAAUGGGGGAAACCCUGAAGCAGCAACGCCGCGUGGAGGAUGAAGGUUUUCGGAUUGUACACUCCUUUUGUUAGAGAAGAUAAUGACGGUAUCUAACGAAUAAGAACCGGCUAACUCCGUGCCAGCAGCCGCGGUAAUACGGAGGGGGCAAGCGUUACUCGGAAUCACUGGGCGGAAAGAGCGCGUAGGCGGGAUAGCAAGUCAGAUGUGAAAUCCUAUGGCUUAACCAUAGAACUGCAUUUGAAACUGUUAUUCUAGAGUAUGGGAGAGGUAGGUGGAAUUCUUGGUGUAGGGGUAAAAUCCGUAGAGAUCAAGAGGAAUACUCAUUGCGAAGGCGACCUGCUAGAACAUAACUGACGCUGAUGCGCGAAAGCGUGGGGAGCAAACAGGAGUAGAUACCCGGGUAGUC